AUGCAAAAUAUGAUGUUCAGGAUCACGGCGAGGGACUUGACGUCCACGGAGGCUUCGAGGGUCGACGGUAGUUGUUCUCGUAUCAUCGUGGAAGUAGUCAUACUCGGUGAUAGUGUUGGACUUAGCGUCAACAACAACAGGGGCACGACGCAGGGACUUGGCGCGAUGCAGGGGCUACGGCCGCGGGACUUGGCCAUGGUACAGUGGCUCCACGAACACACCAGGGCCAGCACGGAGGACUCCAUGGCCGGCGGCCAUGACGAGCAGAGGCGUCAGCUGUAG
rnacentral:rRNA from 1 species